GUACGAAGUGAGCGGUCUGCUCAUGUCGCCUUAGCUAUCAGCGGAUGUCGUCCUAGCCGAAGAUCGGAGAAUCAGUUCCGGGGUACCUCGCGGUUCACGCGCGACUGAUACCGCGAUCGGUGUGCCAGCGGGAACCGCUCGCCGAUCAACGCGAUAGAUAUUUGGCCGUCGCCGCCAUGUUCGACGGACCUACGCGACCGUUCUCCCUUUCAUCUUUCUUCGGCGGACGGUUUUACAGCCGCGGAACGCGGCGAGCGAGUCGCGCGUGGGCGUAAAUUGCGAUUGAUUCGCCCGUUUGGCAAAUUGAAACGAUGCGUCGUAACCGCGAGUCCCUUCUCGUCUCGCGCGAGGAGAGUUACGACGCUCCGCGGGCUAUAACUCACUUCGGACUGCGGGAAUGCGGAGGGUGGGCCGCGUACGCGCUACCCCGUGGGAUCUUCCGAGCUGCGAUGGCGGUGGAGUUUCUGCGGAUUUCGAGUCGAACGCGAGGGACGAGAAAGAUGAAUUUCGGUCCUCUGUUUCGUCAGGUGUUUUUCCUGGUGGACGCGCUGAGCGUUUUUCUUUUCUCCGCGUCGUUCGUACAGUUUCGGAGCAAACGCUGAACCGUUGACGUGAAAGAAAACUGAAAAACGG